rnacentral:lncRNA from 1 species
CACAAGCCCAGGCCAGGGAAGCUGCAGAAAAAGGAAAAAAGGGAAGUGAGUAUAGGAAACAAUGCACAGUCAUGCCUUGCACAACUGGCUUCUGCUUCGGGAUGAGCCAUUGGCUGAUGAGGCAUGGGAGGCUCAGCAGGUCUGUUCCCUUGGCAUGUGGGACAUCUUGCAGUGGAUGCAGGGAGGGACCAUGCCUCUAGCAUUCUCUGGGAAGAAUAAAGGAGAAGUUUAUCUUCCCACCUACCUCCCAUUGCCUGUUUUUCAUUGGUCAAAACUUGUCCCACUAGGAAUUAACUCCUUCACAUUUCCAAGUUUAUAUCAUAUGACUGCUCCAACUACAUGGGACCCCAAACCCCAAACCUGAUGUAUGUAUAGUGUUCCUGUUUCAUCCAAGCCUGGAAAUGAGGGGAAGAGCCAGAACCUCUAGCACAGUGAUGGACAUUGAGGAAGAUAUUGUAUAUUUGUUCACUCAACACUCAUUCCAACGCUCUCCUAGUUUGCCUUUCUAUCUACUACAGGCUGGAAGACUGACUCUAGUGGAGCCUGCUGUCUGAAACUCCGAAGUCUGACCAAAGCAGCAACCCCCUCUCCAUUAUCCCUGUUCCCCCUCCUCUCACGACAUAAACAAAAGUGUAAGCAUGGAAAUCAUAAUUAAAAAAAAAAAAACAAAAAAACUGAGCCGGG